rnacentral:rRNA from 1 species
GGCUAACGCUGGCGGCGUGUCUUAGCCAUGCAAGUCGAGCGGACUUAUGGGGUAACUUAUAAGUCAGCGGCGGACGGCGGAGUAACACGUAGCUAACCUACCCUCUGGACGGGGAUAACCCUACCGAAAGGUGGGCUAAUACCCGAUGUAGUCAUCCUGUAUAGGGGUGAUGAAAGGUGGGCUUCUGUUUACAAGCUCAUGCUGGAGGAGGGGGCUGCGGCCUAUCAGGUAGUUGGUAGGGUAAUAGCCUACCAAGCCGAUGACGGGUAGCCGGCCUGAGAGGGUGACCGGCCCGAGGGGCACUGAGAUACGGGUCCCACUCCUACGGGAGGCAGCAGGCUAGAAAUUUGGGCAAUGGGGGAAACCCUGACCCAGUGACGCCGCGUGCAGGAGGAGCCCUUCGGGGUGUAAACUGCUGUCGUGUAGGGAGAAGGGUACUAAGGUGAACAAUCUUAGUACUUGACGGUACUACAGGAGGAAGCCCAGGCUAACCUCGUG